rnacentral:rRNA from 1 species
UGCGUAGGCGGAACUAUAAGUCAGAGGUGAAAUCACACAGCUUAACUGUGUAACUGCCUUUGAUACUGUAGAUCUUGAAUUAGGUUGAGGUUAGCGGAAUGUGACAUGUAGCGGUGAAAUGCAUAGAUAUGUCAUAGAACACCAAUUGCGAAGGCAGCUAGCUAGGCCUAUAUUGACGCUGAGGCACGAAAGCGUGGGGAGCGAACAGGAUUAGAUACCCUGGUAGUC